AGCACCCCAGCCAGACUGGGGGUUCCGGAAAGCUUUCAGCUUUGAGCCAGUUAUUAAAACCCCUUUUGAUUUGUUAAAACACCUUGCGGUCUGGCAACUGUAAGUGUCAAACUACGGGCCGUAAG
rnacentral:sRNA from 1 species